AUCAAAGAUGGGAGAGGCUUUAAAGCAAAAAAACUUGCCUCCAUCGUUGGACUUCCCAGGAGAGGAGGAGAUGCCAAAGACCAAUCCCACCCGUGUCCUUAAACCCAUUUUCAGUCCGAGUCCCCGGUGCAAUGGCAGCACUCUCUACGACUCAUUCGAGCUCAGAGCUAUAACCAAACAACUCAACAAGGCCAUGCAAAACUUGAAUGGUUCAUCGCCCACUCUGAUUUCCUACUUGAAAUCCCCCUUUUACAACCAUUAUUUAGAUAGCAUCUGCAAAGAACAUGCUCAAACACCAAAGAAAAUAAUGGGUUCCCGGAUCACUCAAAGGUCCCUCGACAAUAGGGCAAGCAGAGCAGGCACUGGUGCAUCACGCUGGGGAUUUAUUAGCAGGCUGUGGAAAAAGGUUAAACAAGGAGUGCUAUGGAAUAAGCAGAGAAAUGA
rnacentral:misc_RNA from 1 species